ACUAACUAGGAUUCCCCCAGUAGCGGCGAGCGAACAGGGAAGAGCCCAGCACCGAAUCCCGCGGCCGACUCCGGACGCCGGGAAAUGUGGUGUUAGGGAGGGUCCGCUAUCCCGAGGUCGCGCGGCGCGUCCAAGUCCUUCUUGAACGGGGCCACUUACCCAUAGAGGGUGCCAGGCCCGUAGCGGCCGCCGCCGGCAGCGGGAGGAUCUCUCCUCAGAGUCGGGUUGCUUGAGAGUGCAGUCCUAAGUGGGUGGUAAACUCCAUCUAAGGCUAAAUAUAACCACGAGACCGAUAGCGAACAAGUACCGUGAGGGAAAGUUGAAAAGAACUUUGAAGAGAGAGUUCAAUAGUACGUGAAACCGUUCAGGGGUAAACCUGAGAAAUCCGAAAGAUCGAAUGGGGACAUUCAGCGCGUUUCGCCUGGCGGCGAGCACAGGUCGCGAGACGGUCGGGCGUUCGCGUUCGACCGCUCCUGCCGAAGCCGCGACCGCUGGCGAACGCGUGCACUUCUCCCCUAGUAGGACGUCGCGACCCGUUGGGUGCCGGUCUAAGGCCCGCGGUGGAGCCCGUCGGGGUACGGUUCAUCCCGUAUCCUUGCGGACCCGCGGUGUUCCGACCGGCUCGCUCGACGGUAGAACGGUGGCGAGGGGUCGCGAAAGUUCGCGCCCGGCCCGUUGCAAGCGCGCCCGUUAGCCCGGCUGUCGGACCUGCGUGCCGACUCCGGGCACGGGCGGCUGCUGGCGACGGUGUCCUCGGGCGGGCCCCGAUACACGCCCGUCGGCGACGCUUUAGCUUUGGAUACUUUCAGGACCCGUCUUGAAACACGGACCAAGGAGUCUAGCAUGUGCGCGAGUCAUUGGGACUCUACUAAACCUAAAGGCGCAAUGAAAGUGAAGGCCGCCUUGCGCGUGCCUAGGGAGGACCGGUCGGACCAACAAGUCCGUGCCGUGCACUCCCGGGGCGUCUCGUUCUCAUCGCGAGUUGAGGCGCACCCAGAGCGUACACGCUGGGACCCGAAAGAUGGUGAACUAUGCCUGGUCAGGACGAAGUCAGGGGAAACCCUGAUGGAGGUCCGUAGCGAUUCUGACGUGCAAAUCGAUCGUCGGAACUGGGUAUAGCGGCGAAAGACUAAUCGAACCAUCUAGUAGCUGGUUCCCUCCGAAGUUUCCCUCAGGAUAGCUGGCGCUCGCUGUUGCGAGUCUCAUCCGGUAAAGCGAAUGAUUAGAGGCAUUGGGGUCGAAACGGCCUCAACCUAUUCUCAAACUUUAAAUGGGUUAGAACUCCGGCUUGCUUGAACGUGAAGCCGCGAGAUAACGUCGGUCGCGCCCGCUUGCCGGGCCGACGGCGGAACGGAUCAGAG
rnacentral:rRNA from 1 species